rnacentral:rRNA from 1 species
UUUUAAUUUUUAACUUUAAUUGUUGUGAAACUUUUUUUUUUUAUUUUUUUUUAUUUAAUGUUUUGUAAAAUAUUUAUUAUUUUUUUAUUUUUGUGAGAAGUUUUUUAAAUUUGUUUUAUUGAACUGGAUUAGUACCCAGGUAAUCAAAAUUUAUUAGUUCGGGAGUAAAGUUGUAUUUAAACCGAAAAAAUAUUGACUGACCUUAGAUUUUUUUUUGGAACAUGUUUUGGAGAGCCCUCCUUGGUAGUUUUUUUUUAGGUACAUGUAUGAUUGUUUAGUUUUUAUAUUAAUUUUGAGGCUUGUUUUUGUUUUAAAACAGAUAUAUACUUGGCUAAUAAAAGAUUUUUUAUGUGUUACUAUUUUUUAUUUAUCCGGAUGUAAUUUUUAUUAAUUAUUGAAGUUGGAAAAAAAAGUAAUUUUAUUUUAAGGUUAAAGUGAAUUAAAUAAAUGAGG